GACGACGUGACGGCUGCUGCGGUGGGGAGCCGGGGAGGCUCGCGCGGGCGCGGGAAGGAGGCGGGAGCCCGGUUGCUGAGGCCCCCCGUCCCCACGCCGCCACUGCGGCGCUGCCAGACAGCCAGGGGCGGGGGAGGCGGAGGGAGGAGGCGGCGAGCCCGCGGCGCGGGGCCUGGGCGGGGGAAACUCGCGCCCCAGGCUGUGGCCGGCAGGGAGCUGCUUCAGGGACAAGAUGUGGGGCUGGAUGUGCUCACGCCCCAGAGGCGACCCCCUCCUGCCCGCUGGCACGCCGCGGGGUCAAACUGUGCUCUCCAGCCGUGGCUUCCUCCCCGCCACCUGUUGCACCCCAUUGCUUCCCCAAGUGUCCUGGCUUCAACCUCCCUCUCUGGUUUUCCCAGCUCUCAGCCCACAAUCUUCAGUCCUUCGGAAUACAAGUCUUGUCGUAUGAAGGAAGCCGGGUAACUCAGCACCUUCCUUGGCACCGAGAAGAAGAGAGACAGGGGUCUCCCCAGCAAGCUCUGAUGUGAGGUAUUCCACAGGGCAAAUUCCCAGGUAUUUGGGGGCAGGGAGGACCCGCCAACAGAGGACCAGGCGGAGACAUUCACUGGAGAAUUUUCUCUGAACCCCAAGGGGGCACUGCCACAAUGUGGCUCCCGCUUUGGCCCCAGAAGCUGAGUGUGAGAGGGACCAACUGGAAUAGAGGAGGCUUUGGAAACCUCCUUGAGACUGGAUGGCCGAAUCUUUCUGGAGACUUGGCACCAGGUGAUAGCAGAAGAAGACACGAGAAGGCACAGAGGGGGAAGGGGAAGGGGCAGUGCCCCACUUCAGGGGAGACACGUCAAGAGUCUCAAGCAUACUUGGACUUCAUCUUCUUUCCCUAGACCCUUCUGAUUUGCUUCAGAAGGAGAAGGAAUGGCAAAGAUUUGUGUACCAAGCUGAUGCCAGACGCUGGCAGCAUCCUCACCUGUUGCUCCAGAAGGGGCUGUGUGCAUCCUUGAAGAGGCUUAGCUCUACCACACUCACCUACAACACCCUCUUCACCACCCCACCUCCCAAGCACAUCACUCUGCUUUGUCCUCUUCACAACACUGCUCACUCAUUGAUGAUUAUCUUGGGCAUUUUUUAUGAGCUUGUUUACAGUGGGUCUCUCCUACUGAAGUAAGCUCAGGGACAAACACACACAUGCAUACACACAAAAUGUGUCUGUUGGGGUCUCCACUGUAUCCCUAAGACUUAGCAGAGCUCUGGGUACACAAUAGGCACUCAACCAAAUGUGUCACUGAUUUGUGUGCAGCUGUGUGUGUCCUACUACCACUGAGUUAGUCCACUAGGACCUGGGGCUGCCUUCAGACUACGGUGCAAGACAGAAGAGACUGCAGGACAUGUUUAGGCUUGCACAGCCCCUCACCCCCGCCCCCCGACACACACCGGGAAGAGCCCCAUACUUUCUUUCAUGCUUUGCUGCUGAAAUUUUUAAUAAUUUUUGAACAAGUGGACCUGCAUUUUUCUUUUUUCCUGGGCCCUGCAAAUUAUAUAGCCAGUUUUGCCCUGGGCAGAAAUGCCGCAGAGCAGGGAACAGGCAAACACGCGGCUUUGCUGAGGCCAUGAGGAAGAGAAGGCUGCCAGUCCAUCCGCCUGCCGUCCUGUCCAACACCAGACUGCUAUGGAAAGGAGCAUGUCUGCCCUUACUGUAGCCAGCCUGGGAUUUGAAGUGUCCUGUAUGCAUGUCUCUUCCUCCACUGACAUUGGACCUCCGGGAAAUGAAGGAUGACAUACGGCACAGCAGAAAUUGAUCAUCAGCUGGAAAUGAUAUAUAACAGUGGUAAGGGGUUGUCACACUACUCUUCCUAACUGCAAGUGGACUUUACUGUUCCCAUGUGUCCAGACAGGAGAGGAAGACAAGAUGUGGGUAAGUAAUAUAGCUUCCCCCAUAAACUGUUACAUAGUAAGUGCUCAAUAAAAAGCAACUAUUAUAAUUUGGUGUUACACAAUCCAUCUCAUUUCUAGGAGGAAUUUCUAAGAAGGCCAAAUUUGCCUUGAAGUUCUCCAGUUUGUUCAAGGGUCUAGUAUGUCACAGAUGCUUUCUAAUAUAGGAUCACAACUGUCCAAGAAUCUUGAAGUUCUCAGCAGGAAGGCUUAUCUUUGCAACACCCUUUAUUUUUUUAACUUUUAUUUUAGGUUUGAGGGUACAUGUGAAGGUUUAUUACAUAGGUAAACACGUGACACAGAUUUGUUAUACAGAUUUUGUCAUCAAGGUAUUAAGCCCAGCACCGAAUAGUUAUCUUUUCUGCUUCAUUCCCUCCUCUCACCCUCCCCUCUCAAGUAGACCUCAGAGUCUGUUGUUUCCUUCUUUGUUUUCGUAAGUUCUUAUCAUUUAGCUCCCACUAAGUAGGCUGAGAAUUUUUUCCUCCAUUUGAUUCUUGAUAGAAAUCAUAACCUGUGAGUUUCUGCUACUCUGCACAUGACUGAACACCUGUCAGGCGCCUCUAGGCACACUGAAAGCCAGUAUUUUUCCAUGGAGCAAUUAAACAGACAAGAGGCAGUAGAAGGCUGCUUAAUUAUUCCUUUUUCAUCAAAGCUGACAUGUAUUCCAAGGAAUUAGGUUUCACCUCCUGGGGGACUCCAGAGAUUUAGGAAUUUAGCCUCAGUAAGUAGAUGUUUGUUCCACUGGGAUUUCCAAAGUGUUUCCUCACCUAAUACUCAUGAGGGAAGCUUUGGUUUUUGACCAUUCAUCUGUGCAUGUGUUCAGAGGUGAAUUCCAAAUCAAACACCCUGUAAAAGUCUGAUUGCAAGUAUCAAGGUGGUUCCAAACUUCGUGUAACUUCAGGGGGAUAUCCUGAGAACUAACAGAUAAUAUGGCAAAUCAGACCCUACUCAAUCCCUUAGGAAAACACUUGGAGACUGUGUCGAAGAUAACCAGAGUGGUACCCAGGUGUCCAAAAGUCACUGUCCCAUGUGAAUGUUUAUAUCAAAAUGGUUGUUGCUAUCACAUGGCUUCCUGGGUGAGAGAUGGGACAGCCAGAGGACUUCUACAGGGAGAAGAAACGCUCCCUGUCAGGAGGAGAACAGGUGAUUCUAGGCUGUUCUGUGGGGACCAAUGACAAGCUGGUCAGCAGGCCAGGUUCCAGAGUCAGACAAAAAAUAUGGAAGGGACCAGGGGAAAUGUGCUUUAAUUCCGGAAAGUGCUGGGAAUGGACAGAAAUGGCCACAUCUGGGCAGAGUCAGGUCUUGAGGAACCCAGCAUACACCAGUCCUAAAUGGUGUUUGAUUCUCAUUGCCACCUCCAGGUCUGCUUUUAGUAUGUUGUGCUCAAGGUCCUUCUUUUUGUCACCUGAGCGACAUGGUGCAGUGCUGAGAAACGAAAUGAAGUAGCAGUCAGGAGGUCAACCUCGGGCUGGGGGGAGUGGGAGCUGCAUGGGCUCUAAAGGAAUUCACACCAGGGGUCUGGUUCCAGCCCUGUUCCUUACUAGCCACGUGAUCCUGGGAAAUACCCAAGAAAUACCCUGUUAUUAUGUCCCAAUUCACAAGCCCUGUGAGCCUUGAUUCUUUAUCUGUAAGCAGAUGUGAUAAGCCCUGUCUAGUAGGACAGUUGGAGUGUGUGCAACGUAGGUGAAGCACCUGGCUCAGGGCCUAUUGUAAAUUAGGAGUUUAAAGAGUGGCAGAUGCCUGUUAUUUCUAACAUUAUUUGACCCCAGGCCCUAGGACUCUGGGAUUUUGCUGUUGUCAUUCUUCUCCGAGACUUAUCAGAGAACAUAGAGCUCAAUAGGACAUGGAAUAAUUAGACAAAAAAUGAAGUUUCAUCCAUAAAAUUCAGUAAGUGGUUACCUCUUAGAAAAUGUACUUCAAAAUUUGAGUAUGCGGGAGUUUUUCCCAGCCAGAUGCAGCUCAAAGCUCCUUGAAUUUGAGUCAGAGACUAACUGUUUCCCUCGCUCCCAGAUGCUUUUCCAUGCAAAUCACUAUUUUCAUUCAUGUUUUCACCACUUUGCUUACAACUGGUCAAAUUGCACUUGAGAUAAUCUAAUUAAAAUUCAUUUUUAAUAGAGUCAUCUCUAGUUCUCCCAGUCAGGCAGAAAAGUACCUGGCCAGUGGCUUCUGGGUCUCCUUUCCAGGGAGAUUUAUGCUUCUCUCUCAGGAAAUGCUUUCAGAUGAUGAGUGUCCAUCACCUAGCUCUUGCACUGUGUUCAACAGCACUGGGACUAAAGCACAAGAUACUUUCCAUUCCUGCCCCACUCCUCUCUGUUCAUCCACCAUCAAAAAAGAACUGUUCAGUUUUCCAUUAUGAGCUUUUCUCACACUCUCUGAGAAUCUGGCCCUGGACCCCCCCCCCCCCCCCCGCCGAUUCAUUAGAAUCAGCUCCCUCCGAAGAAACUGCAGUUUCCCAAAGUCCAAAAGGCCCCACACAGGGCAUUUACCUCUGGACCACUCUCACCUGGAGCCCCACACCCUCACCCCUUUCUUACUUUUUCUCUACAUCUUAGAGGGCACCUCUCCACCUUAAUUAUAUGACUGCUGCUCCUAGACUUUACUACCCUGUGGGUAGGGGUGAGUCUGGCUUACCUUAGCAUCUCCACUAUUAACCCAGGGCCUUCCACAGAGCAAAUGCUCAGUGCAUAGAGAAUAAAUGAGCCAGUGAACAGGGAGAAUGAUUUAUUCAGAUUUAAUUUGUCUUACAUUCUCAAAGAAGCCAAGGAAAUCCAGGUAUGCACAUUUUUUAAAAAAAAUUUUACCGAGUAGACUGAGUAUAAGGCAAGAAUUAAAUAUCUUUUAAUUUCUUUAUGUCAUCAGUUUUACUGCUCAUUCACAUUUCUAAAUGAAUACUUAUUCCACUGCUGUAACUAUGUCCCAAUUCACAAAAUGGAAUGGAUUUCCCAAUCUGAAUAAAAAACAAGACUCUUACUCCUAAACUAUAUAAACAGCACUAUGUGUGACUACUGUCAUUCAUAAAUUUGAAUGCUGAAGUUCAUUCAACCACCCAUUAAAAGGAACAUUUGAACAAUUCCAAAAGGAAACAAAGACAAAUCUCAAAGUCAUCCAAUAGAACAGAAACCCACUACUAAGAAUGUUGACUGCUCUCUUCAAAGAGAGAAGAAUGGGCCUCAUGUCACAUUAAGGCAGGGGAAACUAGUGGACGGAGCCCUGGAAGGUGCACUGGCCCAGCCCCCCUCGCAGUGGCCCUGGCUGCAGCUCAUGCUCAGACUCCCUCUUCCUCCUCUCUCAAAGCUGCUUCAUGCAGGGAUGGGUAGGAAAUGAGAACUCUUGCAUUGACCCUGACCACGUGCUCCAGUACUUUCAAGCAGCGAGUGCCCUUGGACCCCACAGUAACUCAUAGCAUAUGGGAUCACUGCUGGGCACCUGCCGGUACUCCAGGUAGUUUUCCUGCACCAAAUCUUGGGUGAGCAGCUUCCUGGGCUCCCCACAGACACUGUGCUCCCUCCCAACAUACACCUUCAUCACACUCAGCUCCUCCCAGAUUUUCUCCUCAGGGACGCAUUUGCCCUCCAUUGCAAUCAUGCCCAAGACGAUUAUCAGGAGGCCCGUCUUGGGCAUGAUCUGAUUAUUAUCAACCACCAGGCCAUCAUAGGAGUCCCAGGCAGGUGACAAGGGUGUAGGUGUUGCUGGUGGGGUCCGCUUCCUUCACGUCAAUGCCAAAGACCAGCUGCAAGGACUCGGAGGCUUUGCCGAAGAUCACAGGAAAGCAGCGCUUGUAAUUUUUGAUGACUCUCUCCAGCAUUUCUGCCUUUGUGACCGGCUCCUUGACUUAAUACUUGAGGAGCAGAAAAUGAAUCAAGUCAGCCACCUUCUUACUGAGUGCUGCUCGGAACACAGACUCUGGGUCAGGGGAGGUGCUUGGCCCCUCCUCUUCUUGGUUGCUGGAGCCCUUAAUGGAUUGCCUCCAUAGAGUGAAAUCGAUGGCAGUGGGGAUGGCGGAGGCUCCCUGAGGACUCUUGAGAGGACCUGGUGACCCAGCAGCAGGCACCUCCCCCAGGGUGCCUGGGACCAGAGGAGAGGAGGAGGACACAGCCUCCUGCUCCUCAGUAGUGGCAGCCUGCACACCCACCAGGCCCAGGGCCUCUUCUUGGGUGUCAAGGCCUUCCUCAGGCUUGCAGUGCUGACUCUUCUGCUCAAGAGACAUGACGACUCUGGUCACCGCAACAGGCAGGAGUGUGGGCAGGAGCUGGGCAAUGGAGACCCACUGGCCUGGAGAGAGAGGGAGCAUGUGAGAAGCCUCAGCUAAAAACUGAACCUUGGAGGCUCUAACAAAGGCUUACUUACAGAUCUUCUCCUUUGGUGCUCCUCUAGGGCCUCCUGGGGAUCCUCUGGAGCUUCCUGGUGAUCCUGGUCAGCCUGUCCCCUGAGAACCUGAAGGAAAAAGUGAGAGGGCACCUCAGGGUACACAAGCAAGCAGAGGCUGAUUCUGCAGGACUGACAGUAGAGAGGGGCCUAAGACGCUCCCUCUACUGACCUGAGUGCAGACCCCUCGACAAAGACCUCCCCAUCCCUGACACCAAUGAUCCCAGGAUGGGGGCCCCUGUGUUGACCUGAGUCAUCCUCGGAGAACAAGUUCCUCACCUCCCCGAGAUCUGAAAACAGGAAUGAGAUGGAGCUACAUCCUGUCACCCCCACAUGGGGUGUCCAGAGCCUGGACCCACUUCCCUCCACCAAUCUCAAGCCGCCACUCAGAGCGAGAACUUCGCUUCUCUUUGACCCCCAACGCCAAGUCAGUGGUGUCACAUCCGGGCACCCGGGGAUUCCCUCGGUUGAAAGCAGGGGCGAAACCGGAUUCUACCAGAAUAGCCUGGGCCCACUUCCCUCCUCCAAUCCCAAGCCGCCUGUCAGACCAAGAAGCUCGCUUCUCUCUGACCCCCAAUGCGCAAAUCAGUGGCGUCACAUCCAGGCCAGGGGCUUCCCGGGGUUGACAGCAGGGGAAGACCCAGAUUCUGCCAGGAUGGAGCUAUAGAGGGAACCUGGGCCUGCUUCCUUCCACCGAUCUCAAGCUGCUCCUAAGACCAAGAACCUGGCUUCUCUCUGAUACCCAAUGCGCAAGUCAGUGGCAUCACAUCCGGGCCACCUGGCGCUUCUGGUUGAUUUGGGAAGCAGAGAAUAGCCGCCCAAAUUUGAUUGUAAUUUUGGCGGCUACAGGUAAGGCACUAAAUUGUAAAUAAUUUAAGUAUAAUUGACAUUUUUACAAUGUUCUGUUCCCCAUCAAUGAACAGGUUAUGCUCCUCUUUAUUUCAGACCCUCUUAACCUGAAUCUAUCAGUAUACUUUGAUAGUUGCCUCUAGAAAGACCUUAUACAUUUUUGUUAGGGUUCUUUUCAGGUUAAUUCUUGGAUUUUGUUACUACUGCAAAUGGCAUAUUUUCUAUUGUUUGUUCUAAUUAGGUAUUGCUUUCGCAUGUCAAAGAUUUUGACUUUGCUAUAGUAAUGUUACACACCUCUUUCUGAAAGCCCAUUCACCUGAAUAUUCCAUUUGCCUAUUCCUUUGAAUUUUCAAGACCGAUAAUGACAUUAUCACUAAACAUUAUGUAUUUUUCCAAUAUUCACAACCCUUAUUUAUUUUGAUACUUAUAGCUCUGACUUUGUGUCUCAAUGAUGAUUUAAAACAUAGAGAUAAUAGCCUACAUCUACUUCUUGCUCCUGACAUUAAUGAUAAUUCUUUGAACGUUUCACAUUUAAGUAUGUUUGCUGUUGAUUUUAGGAAAUAGAAGUUAUCUUUCAAUAUAGGUUAACUAAAUAUUUUUACCAUGAACUCAUCGAAUUUCUUUCAAAAGCUUUUUCUGUAC
rnacentral:lncRNA from 1 species